GACGGAGGGAGCAAGCGUUGUUCGGAUUUACUGGGCGUAAAGGGCGCGUAGGCGGUCGUGACAAGUCACUUGUGAAAUCUCCGGGCUUAACUCGGAACGGUCAAGUGAUACUGUCGGACUAGAGUGCGGAAGGGGCAACUGGAAUUCUCGGUGUAGCGGUGAAAUGCGUAGAUAUCGAGAGGAACACCUGCGGCGAAGGCGGGUUGCUGGGCCGACACUGACGCUGAUGCGCGAAAGCCAGGGGAGCGAACGGG
rnacentral:rRNA from 1 species